rnacentral:rRNA from 1 species
UGGGGAAUUUUGCACAAUGGGGGAAACCCUGAUGCAGCGACGCCGCGUGAUUUAGAAGGCCUUCGGGUUGUAAAAAUCUUUUCUAUGGGAAGAAAAUGACAGUACCAUAGGAAUAAGGACCGGCUAAUUACGUGCCAGCAGCCGCGGUAAUACGUAAGGUCCGAGCGUUGUCCGGAAUCAUUGGGCGUAAAGGGUACGUAGGCGGGUAAGCAAGUUAGAAGUGAAAUCCUAUAGCUCAACUAUAGUAAGCUUUUAAAACUGCUCAUCUUGAGGUAUGGAAGGGAAAGUGGAAUUCCUAGUGUAGCGGUGAAAUGCGCAGAUAUUAGGAGGAAUAACGGUGGCGAAGGCGACUUUCUGGCCAUAACCUGACGCUGAGGUACGAAAGCGUAGGUAGCAAACAGG